AAGCUAGUAGUGUUAUACCCACGAAGACGCGAGGCUGUAAUCGCUGCCAAAAGGUGCUUCAGCAAAGUACUAAGUAAAGGUCUGCAUACUUAUGUAAACGUAAUAUUUCCAUCAAACAUGUCUAAAAACCUGUUUUUAUUUUGUCAUUAUGGGGUAUUGUAUGUAGAUAAGGGAUUUUUUAUUUUAUUUUUUACGUUUUAAAAUAAGGCUGUAACUUAACAAUAUGUGGAAAAAGUCAACGGUCUGAAUGCACUGUAUAAUAAAAAGGUACAAACUUCAUCAAGUCCAACUGAAAAAGCUACCGUCGGGUUGAUCUGUGGGGAUAACAGACAUAAAAAGGAACUGAAACAAGAUAUUUUCACAGCCACAAAGGAAAGUUACACUCCCUAAGAGGAGUGCAUUGUCUCUGUAACAAGUAAAAUGUCACAUUUCAGCUAUAACAUACAUUUGUGAAAUUGCAAUAAGAGAAACAUUUUGACUUAAAAUCAUUGUGAAUUUUGUUUUCAUUGUCGGUCUUUCUUCAGCAGGUCCACAUAUACCUUUGCAUCUGUAAUGAAAUGAACAGCAGAGGUUGUAGAUGUCAUCCCGCUGUUGAUCCUUGAAUCUACACAAAUAUAAAAAAGGACCUGGACGACUCCACAUAGUCAAGGGAAUUCUGAGGUAUACCAGGAGAUUCUUGAACAGAACAUCAUGCCAUCAGUCAAGGAGCUAAAGCUGGGCCGAAAAUGGUCUUGCAACAAGACAACGACACAAAGCAUUCAAGCAAAUCAACCAAAGAAUGGCUCAGGAGAAAGAAGACUUGUUUUGGAUUGGACAAGUCAAAGUCCUGACCUAAAACCAAUUUAGAGGCUGUUGCAGGACCUGAAGCAGGCAGUUCAUGCCAGACAACCCUCGAACCUCACUCAAUUGGCUAAGUUCUGGAGGAGCGGG
rnacentral:lncRNA from 1 species